CCUACGGGAGGCUGCAGUGGGGAAUAUUGGGCAAUGGAGGAAACUCUGACCCAGCAACGCCGCGUGAAUGAUGAAGGUCUUCGGAUUGUAAAGUUCUUUUCUAAGGGAAGAAGAAAGUGACGGUACCUUAGGAAUAAGCCUCGGCUAACUACGUGCCAGCAGCCGCGGUAAUACGUAGGAGGCAAGCGUUAUCCGGAAUGACUGGGCGUAAAGGGUGCGUAGGUGGUUCAGCAAGUUAGUAGCGUAAUUCCGGAGGUCAACUUCGGCACUACUACUAAAACUGUUGGACUUGAGUGCAGGAGGGGCAACUGGAAUUACUAGUGUAGCGGUGGAAUGCGUAGAUAUUAGGAAGAACACCAGUGGCGAAGGCGGCUUACUGGACAGUAACUGACGUUGAGGCUCGAAAGCGUGGGGAGCAAACAGGAUUAGAUACCCCGGUAGUC
rnacentral:rRNA from 1 species